GACGAACGCUGGCGGCGUGCCUAAUACAUGCAAGUAGAACGCUGAAGGAGGAGCUUGCUUCUCUGGAUGAGUUGCGAACGGGUGAGUAACGCGUAGGUAACCUGCCUGGUAGCGGGGGAUAACUAUUGGAAACGAUAGCUAACACCGCAUAAUAUUGACUAUUGCAUGAUAGUCAGUUGAAAGGUGCAACUGCACCACUACCAGAUGGACCUGCGUUGUAUUAGCUAGUUGGUGGGGUAACGGCUCACCAAGGCGACGAUACAUAGCCGACCUGAGAGGGUGAUCGGCCACACUGGGACUGAGACACGGCCCAGACUCCUACGGGAGGCAGCAGUAGGGAAUCUUCGGCAAUGGACGGAAGUCUGACCGAGCAACGCCGCGUGAGUGAAGAAGGGUUUCGGAUCGUAAAGCUCGGUUGUAAGAGAAGAACGAGUGUGAGAGUGGAAAGCUCACACUGUGACGGUAUCUGACCAGAAAGGGACGGCUAACUACGUG
rnacentral:rRNA from 1 species